rnacentral:lncRNA from 9 species
UGGUUCCUUGCCAAUGGUGGGGGUAGCAGAGGCAGAGAAUUCUCCAGCUGGGCAGUUGGGACUGGCACACAGCAUCCCACUGGGCAGCUGCAGGUGUUCCAGAUGGCCAGCCCUGGGUCUGUUUGUCUUCAUCGCCAGCUUUUGUUUAUGUCCCGGUGCCAUCGCUCUCCCCAUCAAACACACGGUUCAAUCCCUGGUCCAGGAACUUCCACAUGCCACAGGUGUGGCCAAAAAAAAGAACCUGAUUGCUAUGUUGGAUUGCACGAUGACCUUGUGGAUGAAAGUCACACAGUAAGGAUGCUGGAGCAGAAGGAGAGGAUGACUUUUUGGAGCUGCCGCCACACUGGCCUCAAACUUCCUACUGUCACACAGUUUUUUAAAUGAGUGAGUAAACUCGCAUGUGUUUGUCACUAUGUUUCAAGCCCCUGUUACUUACAGCCUAACUAAUGACAGGUUGAGGUAAAGGUGAGCCCAUAGGAGACGUAGGAAGGCACUAGCUUAGUGCUGAUGGCCGCUUGUCGUUGGAGGUAAUUUCUUAGACAAGGUGCCACUUGAGCUGAGUCUUGAAGGAUGAGUAACAUUUGGCUAAGGGAUAUAAUGUGCUUUAAAAUGCUUGGAGUUCCUGUUGUGGCUCAGCGGUAAUGAGCCCGACUAGUAUCCAUGAGGAUGCAUGUUUGAUCCUUGGCCUCGAUCAGUGGGUUAAGGAUCUGGCGUUGCCAUGAGCUGUGGUAUAGUUCGCAGAUACAGCUCGGAUCCUACGUUUGUUGUGGCUGUGAUGUAGGCUGACAGCUGUAGCUCUGAUUUGACCCCUAGCCUGGGAACGUCCAUAUGCCAUGCUUGCAGCCCUAAAAAGAAAAAAUAAAUAAAUAAAACAAAAUGCAUUUAGGAGAGAGUCCCAUCUAGGUAGGAAAAUCUGUUAAAGGUUGUUCAAUCCUAGUCAGAGAUACUCUCUUACCUUCAAGGAGCCAAAAUCUGAUCUGCCUCUUGGAUAAGUAGCAACUAGUACGGUCUCACUUGCAGUGGCUAUUUGAACACUUGAUAAAAUGAAUCAGUGAAGCUUUAUUUCUUUAUUUGAUUUGGAAUAUACCCCUAAUGAAAAUAAAGCUCUAUCUUGUGCUCAAAUGUCAGUUCUUCUUUUGGUAAACUCAAAAUUUCAUGGUGAAAGACAUGCAAGACCUCUAGUCUAAAAAUGACCGAAGAGGGGAGUUCCCAUUGUGGCUCAGCAAUUAACAAACCCAUCUAGUAGCCAUGAGGAUGUAGGUUCAAUCCCUGGCCUUGCUCAGUGGGUUAAGGAUCUGGCGUUGCCAUGAACUGUGGUGUAGGUCAUAGAAGAGGCUCGGAUCCAGUGCUGCUGUGGCUGUGGCGUAGGCUGGCGGCUACAGCUCUGAUUUGACCCCUAGCCUUGGAACCUCCACCUGCCAUGGGUGCAGCCCUAAAAAGAACCUCCCCCCCCCAAAAAAGACAAAACAUUACUGAGGUAUAUUAAAGAAGAUCUAAAUAAAUGUUUUGAGAUGCUCAUUAUUGUUAAUAUAUCCAUUUCCCUCAAACUGAGAGUUUUCAUCUUCUAAAAUGAUCAUUUAAUACCAUAAUUUUCCUCCAAGUGCUGCUUUAGCUGCAUUCCACAAAUUGUUAUGUUUUGUUUUCAUUUUCAUUGCCUUCAAAAUAUUUUCACAGUCCCAUGUGAUCCCUUUGACUCACAGAUUACUUGGGAGCAUGGUACAUAAUUUACAGAUAUUUGGAGACUGUCCAGCUAUCUCUCUGUUAUCUAUUUCUAGUAAAAUUCCAUUAUGGUCUGAGAUCAUACUUGCCAUGAUUUCAAUUCCUUUAAAUUAGUCAAAGUUUGUUUUAUGGGAUGUCUUGGUAAAUGCUCCAUGUGCCCUUGUAAAGAAUAUAUAUUCUGAUGUCAUGGUUUGGAAUGUUCUAUAAAUUCAAUUAGGUCAGGAUGGUUGGUAGUGUUGUGCAGGCCUGCUAAGUCUUUACUGAUUGUCUUUCUACUCAUCCUAUUGCUUGGCAUCACCAUGUGCUAAGGGAGGAGCUGAGUGCCAAAGGGAUCUUUCUCAAUGUUCCUUCUCUACCCUCCACUUGCCUGGAUGGCAGCGGGAGUCUCUUCCCAUCCCCUCCCCGGCUCCCCCAGGGAAGUGCCUGUUACUUGGGGUUUUCUGGUCUGGUGGUGGGUGUGGAGGGUGGGAAUGGGAUUCUCUGUUGUUCUCAUUCAGCCCAGCCUUGGGCGGACACUGGUCUCUGUGUCUUAGAAGUGGGGUUUUCUCAGCCAUCCUGACCUUCCUCCAAUAACCAGAGGCCCAAAGAUGUGGGACCAGUUCCUCCUCCUGGAAUAGAGACUUUUUCUCUUCCCUACCUUCAGCUGCCAUGUUUUCACCUGUUUUCUAGAGGCCAUAGAGUUGCCGUCCUUUCCGUGGUGGCUUAUGCCUUUCACAGGGGAGAAAGACAUGGGUACGGUCUCCAGCCUUUCCCACAGCUAUGGCCAUUCCCCUCUUCCAGUCCUGAACGGAGGAGGAAGACUUUCUCUGGUCUCCCUCACUGCCCCCAACCUUCUUCAUGAGUGCCUGGUGGGGUCCAUGGAGAGGAACUGCUGACGGUUAGGAGCUCCCUUGCCUGCAUCUCCUUGGGGUUCUACAGUCUCUUGCUAGCCCAUACUUGGCCUUGAGAAUCUUUACAAGUUUUGCCUGGAUGCUUCCUGCUGACUUGUCUGGUGGUCCUGUCUUCCUUCUUUGCUCUGUGGCAGGUGAGCCAGUGCUCCCAUCCUGUCCCAUCGUGUCCUGUCCAUCCUUGGAGAAGCCCUUCUAUCCUUAGAUUUCAUGUUAGCCGUGUUGCCCUGGGACCUCAGUUUUUUUUUACUUUUUUUUUUUAAUUUUCCCACUGUACAGCAGGGGGUCAGGUUAUCCUUACAUGUAUACAUUACAAUUACAGUUUUUCCCCCAUCCUUUCUUCUGUUGCAACAUGAGUGUCUAGACAUAGUUCUCAAUGCUAUUCAGCAGGAUCUCCUUGUAAAUCUAUUCUAAGUUGUGCUUCUCGGCCUUUCGGCUAAGAUCAAGUGUGGGACCUCAGUUUUUGAUGGGCUCAAGGAAGUUUUGAAUUUUUUUUUCUUUUCCUUAUGGUUAUGACAAGGAGUGACAUUCUUUUCAGCUUUCUACAUCCUAGGCGGAAGCCAGGCGUCAAAAUACCUUUUUAGAUGAUGCACUUGUAUCCCGAACCACUUUGGGUUCUCUUCAAAAGUCAUAUUUAUGCUCUACAGAUGAAACUUAUUACCAUAAAAAUGAUUCUCAACAAGUGCCUGGAGGGGAGGGUACAGUGGGGGAAGGAGGUCAAAAGCUACAAAGUUCCAGUUGUCAAAUAAGGAAGUUUGUAGGGAUGGAAUAAUGUACAGCAUGGUUACAUAGUUAAUAAUCCUGUGUUGUAGACUGGAAAGUUGUUAGGAGAGAUCUUAUGUUUUCAUCACAAGAAAAAAAAUUGUGACCAUGGAUGAUGAUGGAAGUUAACUAGACCUAUUGUGGGGAUCAUUUUGUGAUGUGUAGCAAACAUCACAUCGUUAUGUUGUACACCUGAAAGUGCGAUAAUGUUAUGUGGCAGUUAUAUCUCGGUAGAAAUAAAUAAAAAUUUAAAAAACACAUGUGCCUCAAGAUCUGUGGGAUGUUCCAAAUCAUAAUUCCAAGUGUGUUUAAUAAUGAGAACCCUGGACAGUGGAAUAGUUUCUCAAGAUAAGUGCUCCCAGGAAGGAGACCCAUUUAGAUGUUCAAGUUCUUACGGUUCUUCUUUUUGUCUUUUUAGGGCUGCACCUGUGGCAGGCAGAGAUUCCCAGGCUAGGGGUCUAAUCGGAGCUGCAGCUGCCAGCCUAUGCCACAGCCACAGCCACAGCAAUGCUAGAUCCGAGCUGCCUUUGCCACCUACAUCAUGGCUCACAGCAACGCCAGGUCCUUUAACC